CGUGGAAGUGAUGACUUGCUAUUACCGCCCCAGUCUGAGUAGUCAUGACUGAUUGGUAUUCCCUGAUCCAGA